CUGGUAGGGAAUCUUAGAACCCCUUACUAAACACCCGCCGCUCUGGAGAUAGGACCCUAGUUUAUAGGACGAUCGUGUACUGUACUGUACCUUUCCUAUUAUAUCGUGCUCAGACCAAAGUGCUUAGACAUUCCUUUCCUUUCCUUGUCCACGACAUCUAGCGGAACAACAAGAACUAUACUUUUUGCCCUAUUCCAGUCGUCCCCCACUAGAAUUCCCAAAACUCCCGCAACGAACGCCACCGGUAACGCCGCCCAUGUCUGUAUCUAAUUGUCCACUUUGUUUAAGUAAAUAUUUAACUACGCAAAUAAACUCACAUUUAUGCAAAAAAACUUUUAUUUAUAUCAAAGACAACAUCAAAUAGAAUUAUGUGAGGAAAACAAAACCCAUCCCAACUCCUAAGUAACUCUGAUCUUCCCUAUUUUAAUUUUUAAUACGCUGGCUAAAGCCAUUACGGGACGAAAAUGCGUUUUCAUUUACUACUAUACUUCAUGUAAAUUUUCAUGUAAAAAGCUGAAGAAAGGAAAACCCUGUCUGACACAGUGACGUCCAAAUAAAUGGUUAAUUAAAGAACAGGAGGAGUUAUAUAAAAACGUGCGUGAAAUGGCGUUCCGUAUUAAAUAAAACAUCACGCUUUACACCUGA